AUGUUUAACAGAGUUGAGCGGAUGCUUCGAGGAGUCAGGCAUGUGCCAAGGCUAAGGAAUCUAAUUUCGCUUGGAUUUCUUCAUCAUGGUGGUAUGGUAUUCCGUUGUGAUCGGGAUAAGAAGACCAUGAGAAUCAUGGAAGAUGAGGUGACCGUGAUGAUUGGAGCGAGGACGGCUUCCCAUCUUUACAAGUUGCAAGGGAGCACUAUUGCAGGUGGAGUCAUGUUGACUGGAGUUGCAGGAGUAGCAGCAGGGUCUCAUGGCGGCGGCGGGUCUGGGGUAGACUCGUAG
rnacentral:rRNA from 1 species